rnacentral:rRNA from 1 species
CCGGACGGUCUUUCGGUGAUCAUAGUACUUUUCGAAUCGCAUGACUUACGUCGGCGAUGGUUCAUUCAAAUUUCUGCCCUAUCAAGUUCGAUGGUAGGAUAGAGGCCUACCAUGCUUUUUACGGGUAACGGCGAAUUAGGGUUCGAUUCCGGAGAGGGAGCCUGAGAAACGGCUACCACAUCUAAGGAAGGCAGCAGGCGCGCAAAUUACCCAAUCCUGAUUCAGGGAGGUAGUGACAAUAAAUAACAAUCCAGGGCUUCGGUCUUGGAAUUGGAAUGAGAACAAUUUAAAUCUCUUAUCGAGGAACAAUUGGAGGGCAAGUCUGGUGCCAGCAGCCGCGGUAAUUCCAGCUCCAAUAGCGUAUAUUAAAGUUGUUGCAGUUAAAUAGCUCGUAGUUGAAUCUUGGG